rnacentral:lncRNA from 1 species
UUGAGGCCCAAAACUAACCCGUGGUCUUUUAACGAACUUUAUUCGUUUGAUUAAUUAACAUAUUAAUUAAUCUUUGCCAUAAAUAAUUAAACCAUUUAAUUAUCCUUACUCAUCUCCUUUGUUUCUUCAAUCUCUACCUUACACGGUGUACGAUCCAUUAGGUUCCUUUUAGCGAGGCAGUGGGCAAUUAGAACUCUUUCAAAUCGAUUGUGAAUUGAAACUUACUUUCAAUUCUCCUUUUAGUGAUUAUACACGUUUAGGGCUUCCACAAACCAUGAGUGACACCUAGCAGUAUGUCAUGGUUACCCAAGCUAAUCAGAAGAGGUGGAGAACCUAUUCAGUUUAGGAUUACAAUGCAACACGGUCUUUCUCUAAUACAAUACUCUUGACCACAUUGUUUGGUUUGAUAGUUUAUUCAUGUCUACUAUCCAAUGUGAUUCAUUUACUUAUAUGAUUACCUUGAAUAUGAUUUGGAACGACUUCCUAAAUCUCAUUCAUACUCUAGCUAGAGAUUCUUAAUCAUAUCAUUGAGUAUUCUCCCUUAAACGGUUUGAAGGUUAGAGAUCCCUUGUUGCGCAUUCACUUGCCUCCAUGGCUA